GAAAAAGACACGGGGUGCCGGACUAUCAGGGCCGGCUGAGAAAAGACCCGUUGAACCUGUCCGGUUAGCACCGGCGAAGGGAUGUCCGGAUGAAUCACA
rnacentral:ncRNA from 2 species